rnacentral:rRNA from 2 species
UUAAGUUAUUAAGGGCGCACGGUGGAUGCCUUGGCACUAGAAGCCGAUGAAGGACGUUACUAACGACGAUAUGCUUUGGGGAGCUGUAAGUAAGCUUUGAUCCAGAGAUUUCCGAAUGGGGAAACCCAGCAUGAGUUAUGUCAUGUUAUCGAUAUGUGAAUACAUAGCAUAUCAGAAGGCACACCCGGAGAACUGAAACAUCUUAGUACCCGGAGGAAGAGAAAGAAAAUUCGAUUCCCUUAGUAGCGGCGAGCGAAACGGGAAGAGCCCAAACCAACAAGCUUGCUUGUUGGGGUUGUAGGACACUCUAUACGGAGUUACAAAGGACGACAUUAGACGAAUCAUCUGGAAAGAUGAAUCAAAGAAGGUAAUAAUCCUGUAGUCGAAAAUGUUGUCUCUCUUGAGUGGAUCCUGAGUACGACGGAGCACGUGAAAUUCCGUCGGAAUCUGGGAGGACCAUCUCCUAAGGCUAAAUACUCUCUAGUGACCGAUAGUGAACCAGUACCGUGAGGGAAAGGUGAAAAGCACCCCGGAAGGGGAGUGAAAUAGAACCUGAAACCGUGUGCUUACAAGUAGUCAGAGCCCGUUAAUGGGUGAUGGCGUGCCUUUUGUAGAAUGAACCGGCGAGUUACGAUUUGAUGCAAGGUUAAGCAGUAAAUGUGGAGCCGUAGCGAAAGCGAGUCUGAAUAGGGCGUUUAGUAUUUGGUCGUAGACCCGAAACCAGGUGAUCUACCCUUGGUCAGGUUGAAGUUCAGGUAACACUGAAUGGAGGACCGAACCGACUUACGUUGAAAAGUGAGCGGAUGAACUGAGGGUAGCGGAGAAAUUCCAAUCGAACCUGGAGAUAGCUGGUUCUCUCCGAAAUAGCUUUAGGGCUAGCCUCAAGUGAUGAUUAUUGGAGGUAGAGCACUGUUUGGACGAGGGGCCCCUCUCGGGUUACCGAAUUCAGACAAACUCCGAAUGCCAAUUAAUUUAACUUGGGAGUCAGAACAUGGGUGAUAAGGUCCGUGUUCGAAAGGGAAACAGCCCAGACCACCAGCUAAGGUCCCAAAAUAUAUGUUAAGUGGAAAAGGAUGUGGCGUUGCCCAGACAACUAGGAUGUUGGCUUAGAAGCAGCCAUCAUUUAAAGAGUGCGUAAUAGCUCACUAGUCGAGUGACACUGCGCCGAAAAUGUACCGGGGCUAAACAUAUUACCGAAGCUGUGGAUUGUCCUUUGGACAAUGGUAGGAGAGCGUUCUAAGGGCGUUGAAGCAUGAUCGUAAGGACAUGUGGAGCGCUUAGAAGUGAGAAUGCCGGUGUGAGUAGCGAAAGACGGGUGAGAAUCCCGUCCACCGAUUGACUAAGGUUUCCAGAGGAAGGCUCGUCCGCUCUGGGUUAGUCGGGUCCUAAGCUGAGGCCGACAGGCGUAGGCGAUGGAUAACAGGUUGAUAUUCCUGUACCACCUAUAAUCGUUUUAAUCGAUGGGGGGACGCAGUAGGAUAGGCGAAGCGUGCGAUUGGAUUGCACGUCUAAGCAGUAAGGCUGAGUAUUAGGCAAAUCCGGUACUCGUUAAGGCUGAGCUGUGAUGGGGAGAAGACAUUGUGUCUUCGAGUCGUUGAUUUCACACUGCCGAGAAAAGCCUCUAGAUAGAAAAUAGGUGCCCGUACCGCAAACCGACACAGGUAGUCAAGAUGAGAAUUCUAAGGUGAGCGAGCGAACUCUCGUUAAGGAACUCGGCAAAAUGACCCCGUAACUUCGGGAGAAGGGGUGCUCUUUAGGGUUAACGCCCAGAAGAGCCGCAGUGAAUAGGCCCAAGCGACUGUUUAUCAAAAACACAGGUCUCUGCUAAACCGUAAGGUGAUGUAUAGGGGCUGACGCCUGCCCGGUGCUGGAAGGUUAAGAGGAGUGGUUAGCUUCUGCGAAGCUACGAAUCGAAGCCCCAGUAAACGGCGGCCGUAACUAUAACGGUCCUAAGGUAGCGAAAUUCCUUGUCGGGUAAGUUCCGACCCGCACGAAAGGCGUAACGAUUUGGGCACUGUCUCAACGAGAGACUCGGUGAAAUCAUAGUACCUGUGAAGAUGCAGGUUACCCGCGACAGGACGGAAAGACCCCGUGGAGCUUUACUGUAGCCUGAUAUUGAAAUUCGGCACAGCUUGUACAGGAUAGGUAGGAGCCUUUGAAACGUGAGCGCUAGCUUACGUGGAGGCGCUGGUGGGAUACUACCCUAGCUGUGUUGGCUUUCUAACCCGCACCACUUAUCGUGGUGGGAGACAGUGUCAGGCGGGCAGUUUGACUGGGGCGGUCGCCUCCUAAAAGGUAACGGAGGCGCUCAAAGGUUCCCUCAGAAUGGUUGGAAAUCAUUCAUAGAGUGUAAAGGCAUAAGGGAGCUUGACUGCGAGACCUACAAGUCGAGCAGGGUCGAAAGACGGACUUAGUGAUCCGGUGGUUCCGCAUGGAAGGGCCAUCGCUCAACGGAUAAAAGCUACCCCGGGGAUAACAGGCUUAUCUCCCCCAAGAGUUCACAUCGACGGGGAGGUUUGGCACCUCGAUGUCGGCUCAUCGCAUCCUGGGGCUGUAGUCGGUCCCAAGGGUUGGGCUGUUCGCCCAUUAAAGCGGUACGCGAGCUGGGUUCAGAACGUCGUGAGACAGUUCGGUCCCUAUCCGUCGUGGGCGUAGGAAAUUUGAGAGGAGCUGUCCUUAGUACGAGAGGACCGGGAUGGACAUACCUCUGGUGUACCAGUUGUCGUGCCAACGGCAUAGCUGGGUAGCUAUGUGUGGACGGGAUAAGUGCUGAAAGCAUCUAAGCAUGAAGCCCCCCCUCAAGAUGAGAUUUCCCAACUUCGGUUAUAAGAUCCCUCAAAGAUGAUGAGGUUAAUAGGUUCGAGGUGGAAGCAUGGUGACAUGUGGAGCUGACGAAUACUAAUCGAUCGAAGACUUAAUCAA